rnacentral:lncRNA from 1 species
AAAUUGAGGACUUGUAUGAACAACUGAAAAAGGAUUCACAUGACAAAUCUGCAAGAUGCAUUGAACUUGAAAAAAAUGUUGCAUCAUUAAAGUCUGAUUUAUUGAAGUUCACUAGUAGUAAAGAUAAACUGAAUGUCAUACUUAGCAACCAGAGACAUGUUAAUGAAAAAUCUGGUCUUGGAUAUAAACCAAAUAUGCAUGUUAAAAGGAAUAACACUAGAUGUGGUAUUGGUUAUAUGCAAAACAAGAAUGUCAAACAUAGUCAGAAAUCUGUUAGUUCAAGGAAUAUGUAUGACAUCUUUACUAAAUCAAAUCAACAUUCAUCCUUUGCUGGUUCAUGUUAUUUUUGUUGCAGAAAGGGACGUUUUGUUUCUAAUUGUAAACUAAAAAAACUAGCCAACAGAGGAUGGAAACAGAUUUGGAUAGCAAAGACACAAAUGUUUGAAACUAACCUCCUAGGACCCAAUUUAAAUUGGGCACCUAAAAUCAAAUUUUGAUUGUGUGUUGCAGGUGUGCUUGACAUCCAAUAGGCAUUCUUGGUACCUAGAUAGCGGAUGCUUAAAGCACAUGACACGAGACAAGUCUAAAUUCUUGUCUCUAACAUUAAAGGAAGGAGGUUUUGUCAAAUAUGGUGACAA